UGGCUCUCCCAUCGAUGAAGAACGCAGCGAAAUGCGAUAAGUAAUGUGAAUUGCAGAAUUCAGUGAAUCAUCGAAUCUUUGAACGCACCUUGCGCCCUUUGGUAUUCCGAAGGGCAUGCCUGUUUGAGUGUCAUUAAAUUCUCAACCUUUGAAUUCGUUUUCAAAGGCUUGGAUGUGAGGGCUUGCUGGCUUCCUUCAGUGGCGGUCUGCUCCCUUUAAAUGCAUUAGUGGGAUCCUUUGUGGACGGUCACUUGGUGUGAUAAUUAUCUACGCCGCUUGUACUGUGAAGCAAAACCUAUGGGAACCCGCUCAUAACCGUCUGUAAUGGACAAUUUUUUGAACAUUUGGCCUCAAAUCAGGUAGGACUACCCGCUGA
rnacentral:misc_RNA from 1 species